rnacentral:ncRNA from 2 species
CUCUUAUUCAGAACCACCAGAUUUGGGAUCGAUGACGUGGUGGCAACCCUUUGUAAGAAAGAAGGUGCCUUACCCAAGCAAGAAGCAAUUCUUGAACAAUAAGAG